AGAGUUUGAUCCUGGCUCAGGACGAACGCUGGCGGCGUGCUUAACACAUGCAAGUCGAACGGAAAGCGCUCUUCGGAGUGACUCGAGUGGCGAACGGGUGAGUAACACGUGGGUGAUCUGCCCUGCACUUUGGGAUAAGCCUGGGAAACUGGGUCUAAUACCGGAUAGGACUACGGCCUGCAUGGGUUGUGGUGGAAAGCUUUUGCGGUGUGGGAUGGGCCCGCGGCCUAUCAGCUUGUUGGUGGGGUGAUGGCCUACCAAGGCGACGACGGGUAGCCGGCCUGAGAGGGUGUCCGGCCACACUGGGACUGAGAUACGGCCCAGACUCCUACGGGAGGCAGCAGUGGGGAAUAUUGCACAAUGGGCGCAAGCCUGAUGCAGCGACGCCGCGUGAGGGAUGACGGCCUUCGGGUUGUAAACCUCUUUCAGCACAGACGAAGCGCAAGUGACGGUAUGUGCAGAAGAAGCACCGGCCAACUACGUGCCAGCAGCCGCGGUAAU
rnacentral:rRNA from 1 species